GAUGACUGCACAAACAAGUUCCUUUGUAAAAAUCAUGGUUACAGGAUUGCAGAGGGGAUCACAAAAAAUACUACUGAGGACGCAUGUCGUUCUCUACGGGCGAGCACUGUAUUGCGCCGAGGCUGAGGUGGCGUGUGUGCACUCUCUGCUUCCCAUUAGUUGUAAGCAGAGCAAAGCAGAGCACGUCCCUUUCUCUAAAUGUAAAUAUAUGUAUAUAUACACACAUAAAUCUUAGGGUUUAAGCAAGCAGAAUGCAUAGCGGCAAUGUGUGUGGGUUCAUUAAAGAACCAGGUUAGGAGGUGAUGAAAUGGUGUCUAUCAACAGUGUUAAGACUGCGACUCGACAUGUCGGAUUCAAGUUGGAGGGGAAUGCAAGUUCUAGGUUAGAGAAAAUGCUGCCUAGCAUUAACAAAACCAGUGGCUCCAUUAUUGGCAAUUAUCUGAAUCCUGUAUCACCUUCGUGCACAACCAUCAACGACAAUGUUGUGAACUUUUAUGAGGUAAUGCUCUCAACUUUGCCGCCUUAGCUUUCUCUCCCUUCCCAAAUCCCGGCUAUGCGUUAGAAUUGCAGUGUUGGUCACAUUGUCAAUGCCUUCAACAUGGAAUAUCCCCAAGGCAAGGCAACGAGCAGCAAGAGCUAUCAGAAUGACAGUGCCUUGACCAACAGCAUCGACAUUUCUUAGCAAAUGUUAUACCUUCUGAAGAAGUGCAGUGAGAUUGUAGCCAAUUUGAAGAGUUCAUCCAGAUAAGUGGCUUGCCAUGAUUUUCAAAUGGAAUUAUUUACUAAACUCAUGCCAUUUUAAAACAAAUUUCCCAAAUACAAGCUGUUUUUGAACUUAUUUUCCAAACCUAAGUUGUUUUCAAGUUGUGUCAAGUUGUGUUUUUGAUUCUACAUUGUUUGAGGUAAUUGAAGAGCUGCACUUGGCUUGACUUUUUAUUGCUGGAACCUUAACAAAUAUUGCCCUACUAACGUUCGUUGAAGUGGAUGUGAGUGGGCUUGAACCUGGCAGUGUGUAUUUAGUGAAGCUGACCAAAAGGGAUAGAUAUGGUUUCUAAAAACUUUUUGAGAUACAACAAGAAUUUGACUAUGCAAAAAUUAGUGAUGUUGCAUAUUUGAUACACAUACCAUGCACGCUUUAUUGCUAUUUGCUACUAGUAUUGCAACUAACAUAGUUACU